rnacentral:sRNA from 1 species
UAUUUUUAGUAGAGACGGGGUUUCGCCAUGUUGACCAGGCUGGUCUCGAACUCCAGACCUCAUGUGAUCCGCCCGCCUCGGCCUCCCAAAGUGCUGGGAAUACAGGCUGUUUAGCUUUUGAUAGAGAAAAAUCCCCCUCUGCUAAAGUGCUGCCAGGUGUACUUACCUGUAAUCCCCAAAAUGACCACCUCGAGUGAAGCAAUCAAAGCCAAGAAGAGAGCGCCGAGAAAACAGAAGUUGCCAAUCAGAACUGCCCUUGCUGAGAUGCCCCGUUACAGUCAUUAGUAGUAAUAAUGGGCUUUUCUUCCUCCAGUUUUCCUUCCAGCGGGGUGGAUGGGGAGCAUCGCUGGCUGACAAGCUGGUCAGAAAAUGUGAUGUUCUGAAUCGUGGAUUUUCAGGUUACAAUACCAGAUGGGCCAAAAUUAUCCUUCCAAGAUUAAUCAGGAAAGGAAACAGUUUGGACAUCCCAGUAGCAGUUACAAUUUUCUUUGGGGCCAAUGACAGUGCACUAAAAGAUGAGAAUCCCAAGCAGCACAUUCCCCUGGAGGAGUAUGCUGCGAAUUUAAAGAGCAUGGUGCAGUACCUGAAGUCUGUGGACAUCCCUGAGAAUCGAGUCAUUCUCAUCACGCCGACCCCACUUUGUGAAACAGCCUGGGAAAAACAGUGCAUCAUACAAGGUUGCAAACUAAAUCGCCUGAACUCUGUUGUUGGUGAAUAUGCCAAUGCGUGUUUACAAGUGGCCCAAGACUGUGGGACUG